rnacentral:rRNA from 1 species
ACUGCUCAGUAACACGUGGACAACCUGCCCUUAGGACGGGGAUAAACCCGGGAAACUGGGUAUAAUACCCGAUAGGUCUCGAUUGCUGGAAUGCAUCGAGAUUUAAAGCUCCGGCGCCUAAGGAUGGGUCUGCGGCCUAUCAGGUAGUAGUGGGUGUAGCGUACCUACUAGCCUACGACGGGUACGGGUUGUGAGAGCAAGAGCCCGGAGAUGGAUUCUGAGACACGAAUCCAGGCCCUACGGGGUGCAGCAGGCGCGAAAACUUUACAAUGCUGGCAACAGCGAUAAGGGAACCUCGAGUGCCAGGUUACAAAUCUGGCUGUCGAGAUGCCUAAAAAGCAUUUCAUAGCAAGGGCCGGGCAAGACCGGUGCCAGCCGCCGCGGUAACACCGGCGGCUCGAGUGGUAACCGUUAUUAUAGGGUCUAAAGGGUCUGUAGCCGGCCGGAUAAGUCUCUUGAGAAAUCUGGCAGCUUAACUGUCAGGCUUUCAGGAGAUACUGUCUGGCUCGAGGCCGGGAGAGGUGAGAGGUACUUCAGGGGUAGGGGUGAAAUCUUGUAAUCCUUGAAGGACCACCAGUGGCGAAGGCGUCUCACCAGAACGGACCUGACGGCAAGGGACGAAAGCUAGGGGCACGAACCGGAUUAGAUACCCGGGUAGUCCUAGCCGUAAACGAUACUCGCUAGGUGUCGGCCACGGUGCGACCGUUGUCGGUGCCGUAGGGAAGCCGUGAAGCGAGCCACCUGGGAAGUACGGCCGCAAGGCUGAAACUUAAAGGAAUUGGCGGGGGAGCAC